AACAAACGCUGGCGGCGUGCCUAAUACAUGCAAGUCGAACGGGGUAGCAAUACCUAGUGGCGCACGGGUGAGGAACGCGUGGAUAGUCUGCCUUAGAGUGGGGGAUAACUAGUCGAAAGAUUAGCUAAUACCGCAUAAGACCACAGGAGCUGCGGCUCUAGGGGUCAAAGGUUUUUCGCUCUAAGAUGAGUCCGCGUAAGAUUAGCUAGUUGGUGAGGUAACGGCUCACCAAGGCGACGAUCUUUAACUGGUCUGAGAGGAUGAUCAGUCACACUGGAACUGAGACACGGUCCAGACUCCUACGGGAGGCAGCAGUAGGGAAUAUUGCACAAUGGAGGAAACUCUGAUGCAGCGACGCCGCGUGAGUGAUGAAGGCCUUCGGGUCGUAAGGCUCUGUCGCAGGGGAAUAACACAAUGAAUGUACCCUGUAAGAAAGGAUCAGCUAACUUCGUGCCAGCCGCCGCCGUAAUAC
rnacentral:rRNA from 1 species